rnacentral:misc_RNA from 1 species
GAUGAAGAACGUAGUGAAAUGCGAUACUUGGUGUGAAUUGCAGAAUCCCGUGAACCAUCGAGUCUUUGAACGCAAGUUGCGCCCGAAGCCACUAGGCCGAGGGCACGCCUGCCUGGGCGUCACACGCCGUUGCCCCCCCAUCUACUCCUUCGGGAUUGCGGGGGGGCGGAUGAUGGCCUCCCGUGCGCCUAGCCGCGCGGUUGGCAUAAAUACCAAGUCCUCGGCGACGCACGCCACGACAAACGGUGGUUGCGAAACCUCGGUUGCCCGUCGUGUGCGUUCGUCGCGCAUCGAGGGCUCGAAAAAAUGCUCGGCUCCGGCUGGGCUUUCAACGCGACCCCAGGUCAGGCGGGGUUACCCGCUGAAUUUAAGCAUAUCAAUAAGCGGAGGA